GCCUCUGCUGCUGCUGCGGCUGCAGCGGCAGCUGCUUCUGCUGUGGCCUCCUCCAACGCUACUGUUAAUGCUGUGGUCGCUGCUGCUGUCACUGCUGCUCUCGCAGCGGUUACUGCUAUUGCUGACCACAAAGGCAAUGAACCAACUCCUCAAAGGCACAGUGGGGCUACUAAUGACAAGGAUUUCGCACUUAAGGCAAAAAAAGAACAUGAUAAGAGAGAACCUGCCACGCAUUUGAUGGAAAUGGGAGAUUCCAUGGCAACGUUUGAGAAGUGUGCUGCAGACACGAGUGCUGUGUUACUGUUGAAGCAGAGCUGUGCUCGCCAACUCCAUCGGGACGGACAAAGCCCUGCAAAGAGCACAUCUAAAGAAAAGCACGAGGCCAAGAAGCAAAUCAAUGGUGUGGAGGGCCUGGAAG
rnacentral:lncRNA from 1 species